UCGGUAAUUCAGUGGUAGAGUGCUUGCCUAGAAGGUGAGAGGUUCUGGGUUCAAUUCGUAGCACUGAA
rnacentral:tRNA from 1 species